GGAAGCUGUGCUGAUUGAUGGAUGGCUUCCAAGCUCUCAGAAAAGCCCACGCUGGGAUGUUCACAGCGCACUAAGAAAUAUUGACCUCUACAGAUGAGGAAACCAAGGUGAUGGGAAUCCUACCUGCCUGCAACACUGGGUCCCUUGCUCUAACCUGAAGGAAAGCAUCUUCCAAGCUGAUCUGAGAUCUGCAUCUUGGGCUCCUGUCUUUCUGUAGAGACAGAGUCAAAGCAUUGCACUACUGCUGCACCAGAGAGGAGCGAGCACAGCCUGGUGACAGCACUAUAGGCAUGGCAGUGUGCUGGGGAACAAGAUCCAAGUCCAGAUCGAGCCAUCAGCCUGGCUGCAAAGCAUUUCUCUCUGAAAGACCCUGCUCGCUCUCCUGGCUCUCUUGAAUUAGAGACAGCAGCAGAAUGGCAAUGAUCCACCUCCCUUUGAGCAUCCCUGCACGGCGCGGCGGUAAAAGCGGCUUAAUGUUCCGUGGGGCUCUGGCUGAGCACAGCAAAUAGCAAAGAUCUCUCAGGGUGAAGAAUCCAUCGGGUUUAUGAAAACCACUACUGAAAUCUGCUUUUGGCUGUGGUCUUGCCAGGAAGGAAUACUUCCCAAGAUGACAGACCAUAACUGCAUCUCCUUUUGGAACGUGAAAAGCAGAUUGUGAAAAGGCUCAAGAAAACGGUGACCAUUUGGAUCCUGGAGAGAAGCCCAAUUGCUUCAUUAAAGAAGAGUUGUCACAUGCUUGUUUCUUAAAUCCUGCUAAAUACCUGCUUAGCAGCGUUAUUGACAGGCUUUUCUCAUGAACACUGAGCUGUUAAGCUGCUCCUAGUUUACAGCAAGAGGUUAAAGGAUUUUUCAAAGCUCCCAAUGAAAGCUUUACUAACUGGAUUAACCGCUAACAUGGAUUUAGGCUUUGAGUCAGAUUAACCUCAGUUGUUCAAAGUAGGUUCCUCUUAUUCGUUCCUUCUUCCCUUUUUCUUCUCUUUUUUUUCCCCUCUCAGCUUUAACCCCUUUGUUUGUCAGGAAUAAUAGAAAUAAAAGUCUCUUGUGCUUGUGUUUGAGCAGGGGGUCACCGUGUGCUCCUCAGGCUGGGAAGAACAGGGCUGCAGCUCCAGGAUGCGAAAUGAGACUGAAGUAGCAGCUUCAUAGCGCCGUUAAUGUCAUUUAGGCAGUACUUAAACGUGUGUUUCUUCAGCAUGUGAGGAGGACUUUCGCAUUAUCUGCUCUCCUGCUGAUUAUUUCUGCUGUUGCGCUGCUUUCUGCGCUAGGGUGUGCAUUUGUGAGCAGGCUACAGUCAGAUUAUCCACUGCCUCAUUUGGAGGUGCUUUUCCCCACUCACUACUGUGCAGAGGCAACGUUCCAGAGCUGCUUUCUGAAGUCAGAAUCUGUUUCAACUCAUUCCACAGUAGCUGCAGUGCAGGAAUCUAUUAGGAAGUGCUAAAGGAUGGCGUGUGGAGGAGCAGCACACACCAAUGUGGGCCCUCUUGCACGACCAAAUGCCUGACCCAUGCAUGUUGAUUCCCAGCCCAGAGCCAGCACUUCUACUGUUUUUCUGUCAUCUGCUCACUGCAUCAUUCAGCCCUCUCAAUCAUCUUUUCGUCCCAGCUCACACAGGUUGAGUGGUGACCACAUGAAGCUCAGCACGUAGGGGUCAGGGCAAGGAAUCACAGUGCUGGGCAGCGAGCCUUUAGCCGGGGCUCUUUAGCAGUGCUGUUGUGUCCCUGGGAUGGAGCUCUCUCUCAGUUAAACCAAAAUAUAAGACAUCCCUGCGCAGUGUGCAUACUCCAUUCAAUAGCAGCUGAUGGAUUUAUCACCUACAAAUGCAUCCAGGGCCUCUUGCUCUGCUCUGUGGCAAACCCUAUCUCACACUGUUUCAACUCAUUGAGCUGACCCUGUUUUCUCAUUCCCCUUGAAUGUCGAUCAGCUCUCCUGUGCUUUUUUUGUGCGUGCUUCUUAAUCUCACAUCCUUUGUCUCCCUCCCAGCUGCCUUUAUCCCAGUGUAAUCCAUUUGUAUCUGAAUCUCUGGCCCUCAUUUCUGAUUUUCCCUCCACCUCCUCAACCCCAACACUCAUCUUUCUAAUCUCCCCUCCCACCAUCUCCCCUCCAUCUCUGGGGGCAGCUCCUCCUCUCUCCCUCCCAGCAUACGAAGGCCCCCUGCUCUUCCCCAAACCUCUCUCAGCUGCUCAGCAUCAGCCUGGUCCUGGCUUAUUGCUGCCAGGUGGUUCCCUCACAGAUUUCCUUUACUGAUUUCCUCCCAGUUCUCACUAUGCAUCCCUUAGGGGAACCUGUGUCACUCAUUCUGUGCGUUCCGCCAGCAAGUACUGAUUUCUUCAAAGUGAUCACUCCAGGUGUGUGACACAGUUAAUGCUAUCACCCAGAGGCUCUGCAGAACCUUUUCCAAAGGUAUGAGCUGCCAGCACUGCCUGUCUCCCUCUUGCAGGGAUUGCUCUCAACACACGCAGGGAUUUCCUCAGGAACCUUACAAGUCUGGGCACAACCAUGCUGGGAAGAAGCACAUUUCUCUCUGUAACACUGGUGGACUUAGAGAUGCACUUGGGAGCCAUCCAUACCCUGCCUUUCCCUUUGGACAUCCAAACUGUUAUUUCUGGGAUUUCUUAUGGUUUGCCAUUUGGCAUUUUAUAGCAUGCGUCUGUCAUAUCCCUCUUAUAUCAGAUUAUAAAAGUGAGGAUUCUUAGCCCUGUGGCCUUCACUGAGACUGGCUAAAGAAAAGGGAGAAAAUAAAAUUAAAAACAAUGAAAUUAAAAGACUGGAAGGAAAGAAAGCAGUUAUGGAGCAUGAAG